AAGGCGGGGUACACCCUGAACAGGUCGCCAGUCCAUCGCAGGAACUCGCUCAUUUAAAAAGAGAGAGGAGAGGAAACGAGGACGAAGCAAGUCCAGACUGAGUCCAGAUCAAGUCAAGACCAAGAUCAGACAAUGAGAAGAAAGGAGACAGCCUGAACUGUGAACUCGCUCACUGAAAAGAGAGGAGAGGAGAUGAGGACAACACUAGUCCAGACUGAGUCCAGACCAAGAUCCGACAAGAGAAGAGAGGAGACAGCCUGAACUGUGAACUCACUCACUGAAAAGAGAGGAGAGGAGAUGAGGACAACACUAGUCCAGACUGAGUCCAGACCAAGAUCCGACAAGAGAAGAGAGGAGACAGCCUGAACUGUGAACUCACUCACUGAAAAGAGAGGAGAGGAGAUGAGGACAACACUAGUCCAGACUGAGUCCAGACCAAGAUCCGACAAGAGAAGAGAGGAGACAGCCUGAACUGUGAACUUGCUCACUGAAAAGAGAGAGAAGAGGAAACAAGGACAACACUAGUCCAGAUCAAGUCCAGACCAAGAUCCGACAAGAGAAGAGAGGAGACAGCCUGAACUGUGAACUCCAUCCAUCCAUCGUCAACCGCUUAUCCUGUGUACAGGGUCGCGGGGGCUGGAGCCAAUCCCAGCUGACAUCGGGCGAAAGGCGGGCACACCCUGAACAGGUCGCCAGUCCAUCGCAGGAACUCGCUCAUUUAAAAAGAGAGGAGAGGAAACGAGGACGAAGUCCAGACCAAGUCUAGACCAAGAUCCGACAAGAGAAGAGAGGAGACAGCCUGAACUGUGAACUCGCUCACUGAAAAGAGAGGAGAGGAGACGAGGACAACACUAGUCCAGACUGAGUCCAGACCAAGAUCCGACAAGAGAAGAGAGGAGACAGCCUGAACUGUGAACUCGCUCAUUCUAAAGGGAAAAUGCACAUUUAUUUGAUGUUAUCAGAAUUCCUACUAUGAUCAAUAGUUCUCCUCCUUCAGCCUUUUUGCUAAAGUUAUUAACUGUUAUUCUUUUUUCUGCAUUUGUCUUUCACUGAGAGGAGAGGAAACGAGGACGACACUACUCCAGACUGAGUCCAGAGUGAGUCCAGACCAAGACCAGACGACAUGAGACAAGGAGACAGCAGAUAUGAAAAGGAGGAUGAGCGAGACGUCUCCUCAUCUGCAGCAGCAUCACAGACAGUUUAUUGUCUCGAACAUCUUCCUGUCUGUCAUCAAGAAGACCAAAAUCAACACUGACAUGUGGCUGUGUAGUCCCAUGAUGAACAUCAUUAAUGUUUGUGUUCAACCUGCUUUUUGUCCUUAAUAAAUAAAACAUAUUCACUGGA